rnacentral:rRNA from 1 species
UACGUAGGGGGCAAGCGUUAUCCGGAUUUACUGGGUGUAAAGGGAGCGCAGACGGAUAAGUAAGUCUGAAGUGAAACCCCACUGCUCAACAGUGGGCAUGCUUUGGAAACUAUUUAACUAGAGUGCUGGAGAGGCAAGCGGAAUUCCUGGUGUAGCGGUGAAAUGCGUAGAUAUCAGGAGGAACACCGGCGGCGAAGGCGGCUUGCUGGACAGUAACUGACGUUGAGGCUCGAAGGCGUGGGGAGCAAAC